UGCGUAGGCGGCUUGGUGGGUCUGGUGUGAAAGCCCCGGGCUCAGCCCGGGAAGGGCACUAGAAACUGCCGAGCUGGAGUGCCGGAGGGGAGAGUGGAAUUCCUGGUGUAGCGAUGAAAUGCGUAGAUAUCAGGAGGAAUACCGGUGGCGAAAGCGACUCUCUGGACGGCAACUGACGCUGAGGCACGAAAGCGUGGGGAGCAAACA
rnacentral:rRNA from 1 species